rnacentral:rRNA from 1 species
ACGCUGGCGGCAGGCCUAACACAUGCAAGUCGAGCGGUAGAGAGAAGCUUGCUUCUCUUGAGAGCGGCGGACGGGUGAGUAAUGCCUAGGAAUCUGCCUGGUAGUGGGGGAUAACGCUCGGAAACGGACGCUAAUACCGCAUACGUCCUACGGGAGAAAGCAGGGGACCUUCGGGCCUUGCGCUAUCAGAUGAGCCUAGGUCGGAUUAGCUAGUUGGUGGGGUAAUGGCUCACCAAGGCGACGAUCCGUAACUGGUCUGAGAGGAUGAUCAGUCACACUGGAACUGAGACACGGUCCAGACUCCUACGGGAGGCAGCAGUGGGGAAUAUUGGACAAUGGGCGAAAGCCUGAUCCAGCCAUGCCGCGUGUGUGAAGAAGGUCUUCGGAUUGUAAAGCACUUUAAGUUGGGAGGAAGGGCAGUUGCCUAAUACGUAACUGUUUUGACGUUACCGACAGAAUAAGCACCGGCUAACUCUGUGCCAGCAGCCGCGGUAAUACAGAGGGUGCAAGCGUUAAUCGGAAUUACUGGGCGUAAAGCGCGCGUAGGUGGUUUGUUAAGUUGGAUGUGAAAUCCCCGGGCUCAACCUGGGAACUGCAUUCAAAACUGACUGACUAGAGUAUGGUAGAGGGUGGUGGAAUUUCCUGUGUAGCGGUGAAAUGCGUAGAUAUAGGAAGGAACACCAGUGGCGAAGGCGACCACCUGGACUGAUACUCACACUGAGGUGCGAAAGCGUGGGGAGCAAAC